AAAAACCUACCUAAUGGAGAAGUCGUUGGCGAAGUCACAAGGCCCUCUACUUUUCAUUAUAAAACCGAUAAACCAGAAAAAGAUGGAUUGUUUUGCGAAAGAAUCUUUGGACCCAUAAAAAGCGGGAUUUGCGCUUGUGGCAAUUCUCGAGCGAGCGGAGCUGAAAACGAAGACGAAAGAUUUUGCCAAGAGAUAACCCAUUGUAGAUAUUUUUUUUGUCAUCUCUAA
rnacentral:rRNA from 1 species